rnacentral:rRNA from 1 species
UACGGAAGGGGCUAGCGUUGCUCGGAAUUACUGGGCGUAAAGAGCUCGUAGGCGGUUUGUCGCGUCGGCUGUGGAAAUCCUGGGGCUUAACUCCGGGCCUGCAGUCGAUACGGGCAGACUUGAGUGUGGUAGGGGAGACUGGAAUUCCUGGUGUAGCGGUGAAAUGCGCAGAUAUCAGGAGGAACACCGGUGGCGAAGGCGGGUCUCUGGGCCAUUACUGACGCUGAGGAGCGAAAGCGUGGGGAGCGAACAGG